rnacentral:rRNA from 1 species
AUGAACAAGGUGAAGAGCCAUGGCAGCAAGCACAAGGGGUCAGGAUCAGGAGGAGGAGGGAUCAGCAGGAUGCUGAGGCAACACAAGGCCAGGCUCUACAUCAUCCAGCGAUGCAUUGUCAUGCUCCUCUGUUGCCAUGACUGA